GGGUGUAGUCAAGUACUUGACUUGUCGGUGCGUGUGUCUAGAUGGGAUUGACCACUCUAGUUUAGGAGCUGUGUACAGUCGUGUUUCAAUUUAGCAAAAUCUUGACCAGGGUAGUCCUUGUGAGGAGUCACAGGACUGUUUGAGUUGAGCACGAUUCAGAUGAUCUGAUCAGAGUUGACAGUUUAACCUUGAGUCAUCCUAAACACAGGGGUCAAAAAGAUGAAUUAUACAGUAACCAUAUUCAUGUAGGUUCUGAGUGUUGCGAUUGCGACUCUUCGACCUAUCCAGACGUCGGGUACCAUUGCUAGAUG
rnacentral:lncRNA from 1 species